rnacentral:rRNA from 1 species
UAUGUGAAUACAUAGCAUAUCAGAAGGCACACCCGGAGAACUGAAACAUCUUAGUACCCGGAGGAAGAGAAAGAAAAUUCGAUUCCCUUAGUAGCGGCGAGCGAAACGGGAAGAGCCCAAACCAACAAGCUUGCUUGUUGGGGUUGUAGGACACUCUAUACGGAGUUACAAAGGACGACAUUAGACGAAUCAUCUGGAAAGAUGAAUCAAAGAAGGUAAUAAUCCUGUAGUCGAAAAUGUUGUCUCUCUUGAGUGGAUCCUGAGUACGACGGAGCACGUGAAAUUCCGUCGGAAUCUGGGAGGACCAUCUCCUAAGGCUAAAUACUCUCUAGUGACCGAUAGUGAACCAGUACCGUGAGGGAAAGGUGAAAAGCACCCCGGAAGGGGAGUGAAAUAGAACCUGAAACCGUGUGCUUACAAGUAGUCAGAGCCCGUUAAUGGGUGAUGGCGUGCCUUUUGUAGAAUGAACCGGCGAGUUACGAUUUGAUGCAAGGUUAAGCAGUAAAUGUGGAGCCGUAGCGAAAGCGAGUCUGAAUAGGGCGUUUAGUAUUUGGUCGUAGACCCGAAACCAGGUGAUCUACCCUUGGUCAGGUUGAAGUUCAGGUAACACUGAAUGGAGGACCGAACCGACUUACGUUGAAAAGUGAGCGGAUGAACUGAGGGUAGCGGAGAAAUUCCAAUCGAACCUGGAGAUAGCUGGUUCUCUCCGAAAUAGCUUUAGGGCUAGCCUCAAGUGAUGAUUAUUGGAGGUAGAGCACUGUUUGGACGAGGGGCCCCUCUCGGGUUACCGAAUUCAGACAAACUCCGAAUGCCAAUUAAUUUAACUUGGGAGUCAGAACAUGGGUGAUAAGGUCCGUGUUCGAAAGGGAAACAGCCCAGACCACCAGCUAAGGUCCCAAAAUAUAUGUUAAGUGGAAAAGGAUGUGGCGUUGCCCAGACAACUAGGAUGUUGGCUUAGAAGCAGCCAUCAUUUAAAGAGUGCGUAAUAGCUCACUAGUCGAGUGACACUGCGCCGAAAAUGUACCGGGGCUAAACAUAUUACCGAAGCUGUGGAUUGUCCUUUGGACAAUGGUAGGAGAGCGUUCUAAGGGCGUUGAAGCAUGAUCGUAAGGACAUGUGGAGCGCUUAGAAGUGAGAAUGCCGGUGUGAGUAGCGAAAGACGGGUGAGAAUCCCGUCCACCGAUUGACUAAGGUUUCCAGAGGAAGGCUCGUCCGCUCUGGGUUAGUCGGGUCCUAAGCUGAGGCCGACAGGCGUAGGCGAUGGAUAACAGGUUGAUAUUCCUGUACCACCUAUAAUCGUUUUAAUCGAUGGGGGGACGCAGUAGGAUAGGCGAAGCGUGCGAUUGGAUUGCACGUCUAAGCAGUAAGGCUGAGUAUUAGGCAAAUCCGGUACUCGUUAAGGCUGA